GAACUUUUAAGUUUUGUCCAAGAAGAAGAGGCGUCGAGCGGCUCUUUCGCCCUGAAAGGCGGACCGUUCACACACACACAUACACAUACACACGCACGCACGCACGCGAGCGCGCGCUCUUCCACGGGGCAGAAAACGCGCAGACGCUCCUUCCUUCGCCGCUCGGGACAAGUGCGACGGAGCGACUUUUUGCGCCAAUGGCUUCAGCCGCUAAACAAGCCGCGUCGCCGCGAAGCGGCUGGAAGUGUCACGGCUCCGGUUUCCAGGGCGCUCUGCCCACGGCCGCGUGUCUCCUGCUGUCCGUGGGCUCCAUCGCGACGUGCCUCCUCGCGAACUUCAGGACCGCGCAGCUGGAGCGCAGGGUGCACGCGCUCGAGCGGGAGCGGGCGGCGGCGCUGGCGCUCGAACCCGAGACGUCUGUGCGGGACGCCGCGGACGCGCUGCUGCGGGAGAAACUCAACAUGUUGGAGCCCAAACUGCGCACAGCGAGGGAGGCGCCGGCACACUGUUCCUGUCCUCCAGGGUUUCGAUCGUCAGCACGUGUAACACAGCUGUGACGUGAGCCGCAAAAUGUCUCAGAGGCCGAAAUGUUUUCUUCGGAUUCCGGGAGUCGUCACAGUCCCA
rnacentral:lncRNA from 1 species